AUUGAACGCUGGCGGAAUGCUUUACACAUGCAAGUCGAACGGCAGCACGGGGGCAACCCUGGUGGCGAGUGGCGAACGGGUGAGUAAUACAUCGGAACGUGCCCAGUCGUGGGGGAUAACGUAGCGAAAGCUACGCUAAUACCGCACACGAUCUACGGAUGAAAGCGGGGGAUCGCAAGACCUCGCGCGAUUGGAGCGGCCGAUGGCAGAUUAGGUAGUUGGUGAGGUAAAGGCUCACCAAGCCGACGAUCUGUAGCUGGUCUGAGAGGACGACCAGCCACACUGGGACUGGGACACGGCCCAGACUCCUACGGGAGGCAGCAGUGGGGAAUUUUGGACAAUGGGCGCAAGCCUGAUCCAGCCAUUCCGCGUGCAGGAUGAAGGCCCUCGGGUUGUAAACUGCUUUUGUACGGAACGAAACGGCUCUCUCUAAUACAGGGGGCUAAUGACGGUACCGUAAGAAUAAGCACCGGCUAACUACGUGCCAGCCGCCGCCGUAA
rnacentral:rRNA from 1 species